rnacentral:rRNA from 1 species
UACCAGCACCCCGAGUGGUCGGGACGUUUUAUUGGGCCUAAAGCAUCCGUAGCCGGUUCUACAAGUCUUCCGUUAAAUCCACCUGCUCAACAGAUGGGCUGCGGAAGAUACUAUGGAGCUAGGAGGCGGGAGAGGCAAGCGGUACUCGAUGGGUAGGGGUAAAAUCCGUUGAUCCAUUGAAGACCACCAGUGGCGAAGGCGGCUUGCCAGAACGCGCUCGACGGUGAGGGAUGAAAGCUGGGGGAGCAAACGG